rnacentral:rRNA from 1 species
GAUGAACGCUGGCGGCGUGCUUAACACAUGCAAGUCGAGCGGAGAUAUUUAAGAGCUUGCUUUUAAAUAUCUUAGCGGCGGACGGGUGAGUAACGUGUGGGUAACCUGCCAUAUACUGGGGAAUAAUCAUUGGAAACGACGACUAAUACCGCAUGUGGUCACGAGGAGACAUCUUCUUGUGAAGAAAGGGCUUCGGCUCGGUAUAUGAUGGACCCGCAUCUGAUUAGCUAGUUGGUGAGAUAACAGCCCACCAAGGCAACGAUCAGUAGCCGACCUGAGAGGGUGAUCGGCCACAUUGGGACUGAGACACGGCCCAAACUCCUACGGGAGGCAGCAGUGGGGAAUAUUGCACAAUGGAGGAAACUCUGAUGCAGCAACGCCGCGUGAAGGAAGAAGGUUUUCGGAUCGUAAACUUCUAUCGAUAGGGAAGAAAGAAAUGACGGUACCUAAAUAAGAAGCCCCGGCUAACUACGUGCCAGCAGCCGCGGUAAUACGUAGGGGGCAAGCGUUAUC